CCGGGGCCGGGCGGCGGGGCGGGCCCUGGGAGCCUCCGCCCCCCGUCUCCGCCGCCGGCGGCCGGAGCAGUUUGGGCGCCGCGGGCCGCCGUCGGUGCGCUGGGGCUGCGGGUCCGGGCGGGAGCAGCGGGAGCCGGAGCCGCCUGGGUCCGUCCCGGCCGUGCCGCGGCGCCAUGAGCGAGAAGGGCGAGCUGGACCUGAGCGGGGCCAAGCACAACACCGGCAUGUGGCUCGUCAAGGUAACAAGUAGCAGCGAGGAAGAAGACAACAUUAUAGGCCCAAUGCCUGCCAAAGGACCAGUGGAGUCUGAUGUGGCUAAAGAAUUUGAACGCAGAGCUCAGAGAAUGAAGGAAAAACUUACUUCAGCAGACAGCAUAAGUUGUGGUUUUUCACUAGUAGUAUUUUGUUGCGGGAGUGUAUUUGUGUUUCUCUUUGCCUGCCUGUGUCUGCGUGAGCCCUGUCACUGUUGUGCUCAUGAUGCUAAGUGUUAAGGCAAAAAGAAGUUCCUGAUUUCUGCUGGAAGCUGAAAGAUUCAGACAGUAGGUUUUGCUUAUCUGCUUGUGGUUCUUACACUCACUUUCUUGCCAAGCAAGUUCCCAGGGAAUCAUGGAUGACAGAACUUCCACCGGAAUUGAAAAGCUUUGGAUUUGGCCCAAGAACAUUCAAGAGAAGAGCUGAUGACAAAUCAGGCAUUGGAUCUAUUUGGACAGAUAUUGUAGCAGACAGAGAAAAGCCAAGGUAACAGAUAGUAGUGAGGAAGAAGACCACCUUAUCGAAGGGUAGUGAAGAAAGUGUAUUAUCUGGAAGAGACAAGAGACUUGCUGAGCAGGUGACUUCCUACAAUGAGUCCAAGAGAUCAGAAUCUCUCCUGGACAUGCAUCAGAAAAAGCUGAGGAGCAAAGCGUCAGGAGAGAAGGCCGUUUGACCGAGAGCAGGAUCUCAAAGUCAAUCGAUUUGAUGAAGCACAAAAAAAGCCCUUAUAAGAAAAUCGCGGGAUCUGAAUAGUAAAUUUGAGCACGGUAAAGGCAAUAUCUUUUGAUAAGAUAAAAGCGUGAAGCUUUUUGGAAGUCAGUUAAAAUUUGAAUGCUUAAUUUUUUAAGUAUUUUUCUGUAAAUAUUUGUAUGCAUGUGAAAUACCCGGUGGGUGAGUGUAAUUUGAAGACAUGCAGCCAGCACAGCUCAGCUGGGGUUGUGUGGGCAGCUGCAGCAUGGGCAGGCUGAGCACCACACAGCUAGCUCAGGCAUCCUGGUUUGCAAAGAACGAUCUCCAUGCCCGCUUGUGGAAAGCCGACUGCCUUGAGAAAUUAGUUCAUGAUCAGGUGUUGCUAUAUACUUAACUAAUAUCACAAGCACAUGGAGUAGUUUUCACUUGUUCAGACAAAUCAUUAGCAGGAACGUUUGCACAAAUGAGGGCUGCUUGUAUUAAGAUUUUAUUGCUGUUAGGCUCUUCUUUUUCAUUCUUGUUCCCUUGUCCAAAUGCAGGACAUGUCACCAGGCACUGCAGGUGGCCAAAUCUCACCAUCCAGCUGCGUUCCUGUUUGCUUGCUCCUGCUGCAGCCCCAGGUGGUCUCUGGCCCUCUGCGAGGAUGUGCUGAGUGGAGGCUGCGGGCUCUUGCUCCAGAGGAGAGCUGCCAGGGGAGCCCCGACAGCAACUUUUUGGUUAGCGCGGUGCUCAUCACGUUGCAGUCGCUGCCCCUCGCUCCCUGGGAUGCACGGCUCUGAUCAGCAAAGCCUUAAUGUGAGUCAGGAACGUGUUUUCUCGCAUCUGCUUAAUCUUUUCUGUUCUUGCUGCUGUUGUGAAGCAGCCUCUCGAAGGCUUGAUGAAAUCUGCGUUGCGAGUUAGGGGAAAAUUGGAAUUGUGGAGAGUUCAAAUGAAGCUUCUCAUUGCCGUGUGUAAAUUGAGCGAGCUUCUGAAUUGUGUUAAUACACAAACUAAUCUCUUCUCACCAAUGCCAAGCUGUUGCCUAGAACAGUCAUUAAAAUAAACGGCGACUCAGUAAAUUACAAGCUCUAUAAGCUUUUGUGUGAAGAGAUGAGCUGUCCUCUACAAUUUGGCCAAGCAGAAAUGUUAGGGGUGACUUUUUCAAGACUCUCUUUAGAAAAAAAAACAGAAUUUAUUUCAUGGAAGGCUCUCGCUGUAAUUAGUAUGUAAUGUUUCUGGUAAGCAGCUCCCCACACCUGUUUAAUGGGCUUCGGUGCUCCUCCGCCCUGCCAGCCUGCCCAGCGGCUGCUUGGCUUGAGGCACACCAAGACACACCAGUUUGUAGCAAGAUGUCAGGAAGCUUUUCUCGGAUGUGAAAAGCCUGUUAGCUGAGAUGUUAAAGCAUUUGCCUUUGUUUUGUGCCGGUGCAGACUUUUAUUCACAUAUUACCACAAAAAAAAAAAAUCUGUUUGAGAGUAAGGUUCACUCCUUCUGAGGUGUCAAAUAGGUGUGGAAGGCAAUUCGUGGUGAAGGCAGUGAAGAGAAGGCUAGCAGGUGGUGAGUAAAUGCUGCAGUGGGUGUCUAAGGGGAAUUUGAAAGAAUAUUAUAUGCUAAUUAAAACAAACAAAAGAAAAAGAACAACUUCUGAGUCUGCCUUGUUACCAAGGAAAAAUUAAAGGCAGAAAAGACAUUUUAAGAAAACUCACUGUAUUUUUUUUUUCAUCUAUCUUCAGGGCAUAUUCCGUACUGAGCUACCUUAAUGCUUGAUCCAGGAAAAUUGUGAUAGAUUAGCAAUACUCUUGCCUGAGAAAAAUUUCUGCUUUCCUAAUUCGAACACCUGUUUCUCGAGAGUUAAUGUGUGUUAAAUAAACCCAAAGCCUCAUUUGGA